rnacentral:rRNA from 1 species
UACGAAGGGGGCUAGCGUUGCUCGGAAUUACUGGGCGUAAAGCGCACGUAGGCGGCUUUCUAAGUCGGAGGUGAAAUCCUGGAGCUCAACUCCAGAACUGCCUUCGAUACUGGAGAGCUUGAGUCCGGGAGAGGUGAGUGGAACUGCGAGUGUAGAGGUGAAAUUCGUAGAUAUCGGGAGGAACACCAGCGGCGAAGGCGGGCACCUGGGCCAACACUGACGCUGAUGCGCGAAAGCUAGGGGAGCAAACAGG